CUGGCCUCCUGACUCCAUUUGAAAUGGAUUUCUGCUUGUUGAUUUUCACAGUGGCUUAAACAACAGAAUAUUUUUCUCACCAUUAUGGAGGCUGGGAAGUCCAAGAUCAAGGUGCCAGCAAGCCUAGAAGAUAAAUCUGUUGUAUGAAGCCCCAGACUGAAGGCAAAAAGAAACUACAGGAAGGAGGUCACAUAGUUUCAUAUGAUAAAGCCAAGAUAAGAGAGACAUCAAAUCACUCACGUCUCUUUGCCACUGAUGUUUGAACUUGCCAGUGUAGAAGGUGAUGUCAUGAUUCAAAGCAUCAGAAAUAGUCUUAAAAAAAAUUCUUCUUAACUCACAUUUUACAACUCUAAUAUUUCAAACGAAGAGUUGGAUGAAACUAAGAAAGAGAAUUCAGUAGUUUUUUGGCUGGAAAAGCUUGGCACUCUUCCAUGACUUGCCUGCUGCAAGAGCCAGAAUUUGAUUCAGGAGGAGCCGAAAGCUUCUCCAUGCUGCUCCGGUGGCCC
rnacentral:lncRNA from 1 species